CACGCCGUAAACGAUGAGUACUAGGAGUUUGCGAUAGACAGUAAGCUCCCGAGCGAAAGCGUUAAGUAAUCCACCUGGGGAGUACGCCGGCAACGGUGAAACUCAAAGGAAUUGACGGGGGCCCGCACAAGCGGAGGAACAUGUGGUUUAAUUCGAUGAUACGCGAGGAACCUUACCCGGGAUUGAACGUAAGGGGAAUAAUGUCAAAAGAUGUUAGCUAGCAAUAGCCACUUACGAGGUGC
rnacentral:rRNA from 1 species